AACCAAAUAGCCAGUUAAAAAAAAUCCACAUAUCUUACGUAAUAAAUAUUGGAGUUUACCAUGACACUUUACUUUAUGUAAAGGUAACGGGAAAAUGUAAUUAUUGAAAUGAUUGAAAGCAAAUUAGGAUGAAACAUUUUGGUGAUAAUUCUUACUAAACACCAUGGUGGAUACAAUUUGGGGAAAUGUUUGUUAUCUUUUUUUAAUUUAUAUUGUUCAGUAUUGUUUGUUGUUGCUUUUGCAUAGCACUAUUGCAGCGACAGCAAAUUUCUGUUUAUUGUAAUUUGUGGAAUAAAAAAAUGGAAGUUC
rnacentral:misc_RNA from 1 species